rnacentral:rRNA from 1 species
GAUGAACGCUGGCGGCGUGCCUAAUACAUGCAUGUCGAGCGAACAGACGAGGAGCUUGCUCCUCUGACGUUAGCGGCGGACGGGUGAGUAACACGUGGAUAACCUACCUAUAAGACUGGGAUAACUUCGGGAAACCGGAGCUAAUACCGGAUAAUAUAUUGAACCGCAUGGUUCAAUAGUGAAAGACGGUUUUGCUGUCACUUAUAGAUGGAUCCGCGCCGCAUUAGCUAGCUGGUAAGGUAACGGCUUACCAAGGCAACGAUGCGUAGCCGACCUGAGAGGGUGAUCGGCCACACUGGAACUGAGACACGGUCCAGACUCCUACGGGAGGCAGCAGUAGGGAAUCUUCCGCAAUGGGCGAAAGCCUGACGGAGCAACGCCGCGUGAGUGAUGAAGGUCUUCGGAUCGUAAAACUCUGUUAUUAGGGAAGAACAAAUGUGUAAGUAACUAUGCACGUCUUGACGGUACCUAAUCAGAAAGCCACGGCUAACUACGUG